rnacentral:misc_RNA from 1 species
AACCUCUUCUUAUGCCCCUAAAAGGGUCCAAUUAAAGCCAACUAUAAAAGGAUUCCGUACUGGCUGGACUUUGUCGUUGGAGCAUACCACUAAUUGUCUUUUCAUUUUAGUUGAAAACUAUUAGAAGUUGGAUCAGCUGCCUCUUUGGGAAUUACCCUUUGUACCCAUUACGAUUGAUAUCUUGAAUGGCUGGAUCUUUGAUGCACUAUUAGAAGUUGGAAGAAGACUGAGUCAGAAGCCGCGACACUAAAAAAU